UGGAGCGCGGUACCACCGUUUUGCCAGAUCUGGUUCUCCGCCAAGUUGAGCUACACGUCAUUAGGGAACAUGUACUGGUGACUGGACGUGUGCAGUGCGCGUCAGGCGGUUCCCGGAUGCACCAAACAGAAACAUGGAACGGGUGGUGGUGGAAGUCCCGAUCAACAACGGUUUUUCCCUCGCCGGCCCCUCCACGACCCCACGAAAGCGCCAGGUGCGUUUCUCAGCGCGGCAUGACAUCAUCCUUCUGCGGGAGGUUAUUGCCCAGAACCCGUUUGCCUCCAAAGAGCCAGGACGGAUCUGGGCCCGUGUUGGGGAGAUCAUCACUGCAGCCCUUCAAGAUGAAAACUUUGAGGUGGAUGCCAGGAGGUGCAGGGAGAGGACCAUGCUGCUGUUGGACUACUACAAGAAACAAGACUUCCCCAGUCUGCGCAGAUUUGGAACGGAGAGGUUGUACGCCCAAAAGGAAGAUCUGCUCCAUGAAGGUUUUGGAGCUGGAGGCUGAGAAGGGGCUCUUGGCCGGCGGUGAAAACACAAAGUACCAGGAUGAUGAACUGAGAAAACGAGCCAUAGAAGAACUAACUCUACCAGAGCAGGACAAACCCAACAUCACCAUCACACAAACACCCACUGCAGCAGAACCAGAAGAAGACCGAGAGGAAAUGGCAGAGCUUUCAGCUGCGCCCACAGCCAAGCGGCCGUGCCAGUGCUGCUGCCAGACAUACUCUGAGAUUCUCAGUUUUCUGGAGAAACGCUCAGAGGCAGAGCAGCGGCUACGAGAGGAGGAGCUUUCACUGCGCCGGGAGGAGUUGGAGAUUCAAAGGAGUAAGAUCGCUCUGGAGAGGGAACGUCUGGCAGCUGAGAGAAAAGAGAGAGAACGGAGAUUUGAGCUGGAGAGUCAAGAGAGGCAGGUCAUCUUGGACCUGCUAAAAGAAAAGGUGCUGAAAGGCUGAAACACUGUUAUCACCUGCAUUUUAAUGCAAUCUUUUAAAAGAAGUCAAAGCAUGAAAUAUGGGAAAACAAGAUAGUUGAUCGCUUAAAAGAGGAAGGAAACCAAGGAAACAGGAAGUGAAAAAAAUCAAUGAUUGUAGGUUUUUACGUGCAGGUCAUUGUUAAAUAACCAGACAAAAGGGAGGGCAGUAAUACAGGAUUUGCAUAUGCCACAACAGCCAAACAAAUGACUAAUCUUGGGAGUGUCCAGGCGUACAAAGUACCAAAAAAAGAUAUUAACCUGCUGACCCAUAUCAAUCCCAACAGACACUCCCUGUGUGUUAUUACUCAUGGCACAAUCUGAAUGAAUUGCUGCAAUUGAUGGAGUAUCACCUAAGAAAUGGAAUGCAGAAAAGGGUGUGGUGCUGUGUCUUAGGUGUGUUGAGCCAAAUCAGUGGCUCAGUUUUUCAAUUCGAUGAUAUUUUGAUUAAAAUAGAAGCAAAACUACAGUGUAUUUUACUGACUGGUAAGCACUUUUAUACUGCAUCAAUUCCCGCCAUUAAUUGAGCGUCCAUAUUCUAGAGAUUAUACAGAAACAACUUUUUUAACUGAUGUCUUAGGUGAUCUACAGUCAUGUUGCUAUAAGAUAGUUAUUAGUCAAAUGUAUGCCCUCAGUUUAAUGUGUUAUACCCAGGUAUAGUUAACUGUCAUUGGUUAAAGUUGCAAUAUUACAUAAACAUGGAAUUCAUGACAGGAACACUUUUUUAUUACAUGUUCUACUGACUUAUUACACUUGUUACGGUGACCUUAUGUAUAUUGUUCAUAAAAAUGCUAUUUUUCUUGAAGUCCACAUAGCAUAUCCUAAGUUAUAUAAAAUGAAAGAAUGUAAAGAAAAACUUGCUAAUUUCUAUUCUGAAAAUAAAUAAAAAAUGUAGCCGUGUUUGUGUGAAUUCAUAAUGAUCACCACCAGGGGUGUCAAACUCAUUUUAGUUCAGGGGCCACAUGCAGCACAAUUUGAUCUUAAGUGGGCCGGACCAAUAAAAUCACAGCAUAAUAACCUAUAAAUAACGACAACUCCAAAUGUUUCCCUUCGUCAUAAUGCAAGACGAAGGGAAAUGUUCAAAUUUAAUGAACUAUCUUUUUACAAAAAAUUAUGAACAACCUGAAAUUUCUUAAGAAAAAAAGGUGCAAUUUCAACAAUAUUAUACCUCAGUUUAUAAUUUACACAUGUUCAUUACAACUGACAGAUCAGUGUAUCUACAAAGGCACAACACAUUUAGUCACAGGUAUUUGGAACAAUACUUUACUUUAUGAUCAAAACAACUAAUUUUUACACUUUGCAAAGUCAUCCCGCAGGCCGGAUUGGACCCUCUGGCGGGCUG
rnacentral:lncRNA from 1 species